CAAAGGCUCCAAAGGAAGCCACGGCUAACUCUGUGCCAGCAGCCGCGGUAAUACAGAGGUGGCGAGCGUUGUUCGGAAUUAUUGGGCGUAAAAAGCACGUAGGUGGGUUUGCAAGUCAGAUGUGAAAGCCUUCUGUUCAACGGAAGAAUUGCAUCUGAAACUGCUGAUCUUGAGUAUAGGAGGGGAGAAUGGAACUUCUGGUGGAGCGGUGAAAUGCGUAGAUAUCAGAAGGAACGCCGGCGGCGAAAGCGAUUCUCUGGCCUAUUACUGACACUCAGUGUGCGGAAGCUAGGGGAGCAAACGGGAUUAGAUACCCCGGUAGUCCUAGCUGUAAA
rnacentral:rRNA from 1 species